rnacentral:rRNA from 1 species
AGAGUUUGAUCCUGGCUCAGAACGAACGCUGGCGGCAGGCUUAACACAUGCAAGUCGAACGCACCWCAAGGUGAGUGGCAGACGGGUGAGUAACACGUGGGAACAUACCCUUUGGUUCGGAACAACUCAGGGAAACUUGAGCUAAUACCGGAUAAGCCCCUCGGGGGAAAGAUUUAUUGCCGAAGGAUUGGCCCGCGUCUGAUUAGCUAGUUGGUGAGGUAAUGGCUCACCAAGGCGACGAUCAGUAGCUGGUCUGAGAGGAUGAUCAGCCACAUUGGGSCUGAGACSCGGCCCAAACUCSUSCGGGAGGCAGCAGUGGGGAAUAUUGGACAAUGGGCGCAAGCCUGAUCCAGCCAUSCCGCGUGAGUGAUGAAGGCCUUAGGGUGGUAAAGCUCUUUUACCCGGGAAGAUAAUGACUGUGCCGGGAGAAUAAACCCCGGCUAACUUCGUGCCAGCAGCCGCGGUAAU